rnacentral:rRNA from 1 species
AUUGAACGCUGGCGGCAUGCCUUACACAUGCAAGUCGAACGGUAACAGGUCUUCGGACGCUGACGAGUGGCGAACGGGUGAGUAAUACAUCGGAACGUGCCCGAUCGUGGGGGAUAACGAAGCGAAAGCUUUACUAAUACCGCAUACGAUCUACGGAUGAAAGCAGGGGACCGCAAGGCCUUGCGCGAACGGAGCGGCCGAUGGCAGAUUAGGUAGUUGGUGGGAUAAAAGCUUACCAAGCCGACGACCUGUAGCUGGUCUGAGAGGACGACCAGCCACACUGGGACUGAGACACGGCCCAGACUCCUACGGGAGGCAGCAGUGGGGAAUUUUGGACAAUGGGCGAAAGCCUGAUCCAGCCAUGCCGCGUGCAGGAUGAAGGCCUUCGGGUUGUAAACUGCUUUUGUACGGAACGAAAAGACUCUGGUUAAUACCUGGGGUCCAUGACGGUACCGUAAGAAUAAGCACCGGCUAACUACGUGCCAGCCGCCGCGGUAA